GAGUAACGCGUGGGUAACCUGCCUCAUACAGGGGGAUAACAGUUGGAAACGACUGCUAAUACCGCAUAAGCGCACGGUACCGCAUGGUACCGUGUGAAAAACUCUGGUGGUAUGAGAUGGACCCGCGUCUGAUUAGCUAGUUGGUGGGGUAACAGCCUACCAAGGCGACGAUCAGUAGCCGACCUGAGAGGGUGACCGGCCACAUUGGGACUGAGACACGGCCCAAACUCCUACGGGAGGCAGCAGUGGGGAAUAUUGCACAAUGGGGGAAACCCUGAUGCAGCGACGCCGCGUGAGCGAAGAAGUAUUUCGGUAUGUAAAGCUCUAUCAGCAGGGAAGAAAAAAAUGACGGUACCUGACUAAGAAGCACCGGCUAAAUACGUGCCAGCAGCCGCGGUAAUACGUAUGGUGCAAGCGUUAUCCGGAUUUACUGGGUGUAAAGGGAGCGCAGGCGGUGCGGCAAGUCUGAUGUGAAAGCCCGGGGCUCAACCCCGGUACUGCAUUGGAAACUGUCGUACUAGAGUGUCGGAGGGGUAAGUGGAAUUCCUAGUGUAGCGGUGAAAUGCGUAGAUAUUAGGAGGAACACCAGUGGCGAAGGCGGCUUACUGGACGAUAACUGACGCUGAGGCUCGAAAGCGUGGGGAGCAAACAGGAUUAGAUACCCUGGUAGUCCACGCUGUAAACGAUGAAUACUAGGUGUUGGAGAGCAUUGCUCUUCGGUGCCGCAG
rnacentral:rRNA from 1 species